rnacentral:rRNA from 1 species
UACGAAGGGGGCUAGCGUUGCUCGGAAUCACUGGGCGUAAAGCGCACGUAGGCGGGUUGCUAGGUCAGGGGUGAAAUCCUGGAGCUCAACUCCAGAACUGCCUUUGAUACUGGCGACCUUGAGUCCGGGAGAGGUGAGUGGAACUGCGAGUGUAGAGGUGAAAUUCGUAGAUAUUCGCAAGAACACCAGUGGCGAAGGCGGCUCACUGGCCCGGUACUGACGCUGAGGUGCGAAAGCGUGGGGAGCAAACAGG